rnacentral:rRNA from 1 species
CAGCCGCCGCGGUAAUACGUAGGGUGCGAGCGUUAAUCGGAAUUACUGGGCGUAAAGCGUGCGCAGGCGGUUCGUUAAGACAGAUGUGAAAUCCCCGGGCUUAACCUGGGAACUGCAUUUGUGACUGGCGAGCUAGAGUAUGGCAGAGGGGGGGUAGAAUUCCACGUGUAGCAGUGAAACGCGUAGAGAUGUGGAGGAAUACCGAUGGCGAAGGCAGCCCCCUGGGCCAAUACUGACGCUCAUGCACGAAAGCGUGGGGAGCAAACAGGAUUAGAUACCCCUGUAGUCCCUGUCUCUUAUU